UUCAAUCACUUAAGAUGUGUUUCUCAAUCUCAGGGGUGAAGAUACACGCAAAAACUUCACUGGCCUCCUUCACAGAGCUCUGAAAAGAGAGAAUUAAUGUGUUUAUGGAUAAUGAAGAGCUGUGCAGUGGAGAAGUGAUCCGAUCAGCUCUCCUCGGAGCAAUCAGACUGGAAGUUAUUUUGAAGGAUCGUUUCAGAAUCAUCAGAGAAGUUUGAUGUUUAAACCAUAAAGAGAUGGAUGGAAGCGCGCGUUGAAUGUGGUAGGAGGAUUAAUGGGAUAUGAACUCAAGAAAGUAAACUGAUAUCAAAUAAGUAGCAUGAGGACCAAAUGAUCUAGUUUCUCUUCAAGAACAAGUUGUUUGAAGUUUCUCCAAAAAGAGAGUUGAUCGCAAAAUAUGGAAUGUUGACGGCAGACAAGAAUUGAUAAAACAAAAACUACAAUGAGAAAUUGUUCUUCUUAUUCUUGAUGA